UUUCCGUAGGUGAACCUGCGGAAGGAUCAUUAAAGAGAACAUGCCCUUCGGGGUAGAUCUCCCACCCUUUGUUUAUAUUACCUUUGUUGCUUUGGCAGGCCCGUCUUCGGACCACCGGCUUCGGCUGGUCAGUGCUUGCCAGAGGACCCAAAACUCUUAUUAUUAAUGUCGUCUGAGUACUAUAUAAUAGUUAAAACUUUCAACAACGGAUCUCUUGGUUCUG
rnacentral:misc_RNA from 1 species